rnacentral:tRNA from 1 species
CGGCCGUGCGUCUGCUGGAGAGGGUGACGGGCGUCGUCGGCGCCCCAUGGCUCGGCCUGCGGGCCGGCGCGGGGUUCUAGUCCUCGGUGGCAGCC